UUUGUGCAGCUUGUAUCUAUAUAUUUUCUAAAUUUUCUUUGGUCUUUUGGAUCAAGUGUUUCCUUCAGAAUGCUAUAACUAUUCACACAGAUUUGCUGUAUUCAUCUUUACCUCAGUACCUUUCUCGAGUUCUCCUCCUUCAAAUUCUUCUUUUCUUUCAACGAAGUUCUUUUUUGUUAUUGAACAAGUGGUUGCUGGUUCCUUUUUUAUGAAUAGUGCAUGCUUGCAAGAUUCUUAAUAGGUGCAGCUCUUUUUAUAGAAUUCUUAUAUUGUAUUGUCCACCAUAAAAAAAAUUCUAACAAUGUCAUCUAGAUAAUGGAUCAGGAACAGCUGUUUAAUUGUUUAGUGAAAUGAUGUUGAUCUAAGGACCUAUAUUGUAUGUAGACUUCAUAUUAGUGAAUCAUUUUUGUCAAAGGUGAUCUGACAUGGAUUUGGGUAUGCGAUAGGGUGUAAGAUAUGUUCUGAUGUUUGCGGUAGUAAGAACUUGUGGAGCAUAUUCUCAGCUGACCAGAAAUUGCAUAUGAUAUCUGCCAAAUAUGCACAUUCUUUGCUUGAGUAUUGCAAGACUAGUUAAGUACCCAUAUUGGUUUGUAUCAUGAGUCCUUGUUAUCACCUUUCUUACACUUCCAUUUUCCUCUUUGGUCAUAGUGUGGAGCAGUCAAGGUUAAUCCGGACCUUAAGUAGCGUACAUUCUUGUACCUUUGAUUAUAGACGAAGAAGAAUUAGAAGCUUGAUAGCUGAACCUGAAGCUUAGGUGCACAUAUGCACUGUACAGUCUGUACCUGUAUACCAAGGACGUCUAAUAUAGGUGAACAUAUGCACUGCAUGUACCUGUACCUGUAUGCCCAAGGAUGUCUCAUAUCCUAAAUUUCCCUUUCCCUUCAAUUUUGUGUUCAAGAAACCUAUAAAUUGAUAGCGGUGGAAUUUUUGUUAUUCCAGUUUUACCCUUGCUUUUUUCACAUUUGUUUCCAUGUAUAUUUAUAUCUACAUUUAUAUAUUUAUUUGUAUAAUGUCAAAGGUCAGGCUUGACUUCAGCGUUUCCCUUCCAACACCUCGUAUUGACAGGACAAACAUUGGUAAUGACCAUCUGAUAGAUUUAUUUGUAUGUAUCAUAAUUCAUAAUGUCUCCUAUGCAUACUAUUCCACCCUAAGCAGCACACACACUGGACACGGAUAAGUGGAUUCAAAUCAUUAAAAAGUAGGACGCAACAUGACGUGGAGUCAUGGACACAACAAUAAUUUUUUAGUUCUAUACUUAAUUACAUAAUUUAGAAGAUGAAGUUAUGCAAAUAUAGCUAAGAUUAAGAAUAUUUGCUACUACCUCCUACUUUGUCAUCACAAUUAUAUUCUUGUCAUAUAUGAAAGUGUCAUUGCAUGAUUGAUUUGUGAUGACCAUGUCUACUACGUCAAUUUUUAUUAGAUGAUUGAUUUGUGAUGACCAUGUCUACUACGUCAAUUUUUAUUAGAGACGCUAUGGGGUGUUUUCUCUGUGUUUUUAUGUUUUAUAAAGCUUGCAUUUGGGAGUGUUAGUUGUGCUAAAUGUCUGAUAUAUAUAUAUAUAUAUAUAUAUAUAUAUAUUUCUAAAUUAAUCACAUAGAUGAAGUGUUGGACACAUGUCCAAGUGUUGGUGUGUAAUACCCUGCAAUUUGCAAAAAAAUUCUUUUGAGGUGGUAGUGGUGUAACAGGAAAUGUUUUAUGAGUUCAUGUGUUGCUCCCAGGACAUUGGCUUGCUUAUUUCUUUUUAUUUUAUUAUUAAAGAGACAAUUGUUUAGAUAUGCAAGACAAUAGCAUGCACAAGGGUUGUUAACCACAUAUAGCACUCCUAGAGACAUUUGUUGCAAAUGUUUAGAUAUGCAAGAAAAUAGCAUGCAAAAGGGUUGUUAACCACAUAUAGCACUCCUAGAGACAUUUGUUGCAAAUGUUUGCUGACCUAUAACUUACGGGAGUUAAUUGACCAUGACUCCACCCACGAGAAGUAUGUAUUUAUAUCAUAAAGAUAAAAGAAGUCAGGUUAGUAGGUAUAUACAAGGUUAGAAUGUAAAUAAAGAGAAGACAUGGGUUUGAAAAUAAAAUAGAAAAACCAACGGGCCAGUGGCCUAGCGGUAUCAGCCUCUUACUUCCCAAAGGGAGGUCAGAGGUUCAAGUCUCAGAAGAGACAAGUGUGUGUGAGUACCAACUAGGAAAAAAAAGAAAAUAAAAUAGAAAA